UGAAGUGCCCACCCGCCCCCAGCCAAGCACACCCUUCUCGGCUCCCGAGAGGGCCGCGGCGGUGGUGCGGUAGCGCAGGCCGAAGUGUGAGCUGUGGAACUCCAGAGAUUCUUGGAUGGACGCGGGCGUUGUUGGGGACAUUAAUCCCUCUCUCGCGGCCGGCGCGCUUUGUGCCCAGGGAGGCUGGGCCGCGGCAUUGUCCCCGCAGGGAAGGGGACCUCGGGCAGCGCCGGGACCCCUCUCACGGCUGUGAAUACCCGCGGCUCCCAGGAACCCUCGACCCUUUGUGUCCGGCGCUGUGGUCUGAUCUUUCCGACCUCUACGGGGAUCUUGUGAAUUAGUGAGGGGGAAGGGCCGGGGAAGCCGGGGUAAGAAAGCCGGAGGCCGGUCGAAGUCCGCCUCUCGCAGUGGGGGAGGGGACAGGAAACCGGCAGCGCGCUUCCCCAGACCCGCUCUGGGCUCGGGCCACAGCGGGGUCCUGAGCUGCGACUCUAGGCCAGUCUUCAGAUUAGGGUUUCCCGGCCUGUGUAAAGGAGGUGCAGCAAGAAAUCCCAGUCCCGAAGCGGGUUUAGUUCUUGCUGGGGACCGCGCGGGUGAGGUCCUCCUUUCCCCAGACCUAGGCGUGAUCCUAGCAGACACCUGCACGUG
rnacentral:lncRNA from 1 species